GCCUGCGGGUGUCAUGGCGGCGAGGCCUUCCAUUGCUGUGCUCCGUGUUGGGGGUGCUUCACGUAUCUCAGGCCUAUCUGCUGCCCGAGGGAAGGACCUGAGCUGAGUCCUGUCCUCAGCUGAGGCCUGUCCUGAGCUGUGUUGGUGCCUGCUCCCACGGGGCUGGGAGCGGUGGUGAUGGCAGUCCGAUGGCUGGGUGUUUGUACUGGUUGGAUUUAAACGUGUUAAUCUGUAUAUAAACAAAAGGUUUUCUGCUUUCUUUGUGGGGUAGCGUGGAAACUGCUGAGCUGUUUGAUCGCUGUGGUCUCACUUGAAGAUACAUGCAGCCCAGAUUUAGCUUCAGUGUAACUACAUGUAACUGAAGGAGCCAACACUGUGCCAAGGGACACUGCAGGUGGCCUUACCCAUUGCUGGAACCAUUUCUGAAAGGAUUCCUCACAGACCUUUUUGGACGUAUAUGAUAAGCAACUGUUGAGACUGGAUGGAAAGCAUGAGCAGACUCUUGGCAUAUGGAUAGUCUGUAAGUACAGCUCAGUACAAAGUAAAAAUGGAUUGAGUAUUCAGUAAUUAGUGUACUCUAUGAACAUAUUAUGGGUAUACUGCAGAGUAGCAAAGCCUGUUUUUCCUCUAAAGAAAACACAAGCAUAAAAGCAGUCAGAGGAAUAGCAACUUCACCUUUCAGGGUUGCAGUCCUACAGAUACUAAGCAAAGCAAGCCCAGGGAUAGCAGCUGAGGUUAUCAGGCAAGCUCCUAACAGUAAAUCAGAGGUGAACCAUGAAAUUGUUUUGUAGUUUAGAUGCUGAAAUUAGAAGUCUGCAUAGUUAAAGAGUAAAAUAAUGCCUCAGACUGACGCUUAAAUGAGGCUCCUGUGUCAGUAGGCAGAGGGUAUGUGCAGGGUGGGGUGGAGGCCCCAGGUGAGGAUGGUCAGGGCCAUUAUGGUUUAUUGCCUCUUUAUCAGAUGUUAAUCAGACCCCUCUGAUAAGCCUGCCCACUGAUAGGGCAUGUAAAGAGAACCUAGGUCCCCUAUUGUGUGUCUGAAUGAGCUGGAUAAGUUGUGACUGCAGAAAGGAAACAGCUGUAAUGGUGAUGGCCUUAGGGAAAGGUGUGUCCUCUUCCUUUCCUGGUGCUGUUUCAGUUCCAGUGUAUGAAAGGUUAUAAGCAACAUCUCCAUUACACAUCUUAGAUGUGGAUGAUCUAGGUAGUAUUGUAGAAACAAAAGGGAAGCAGCUGUAGGGAUGAUAACCGUGUGUGUGGGGGGGAAAGAUGGGUCCCCUUCCACUUAUGUUCUGGAAGUUAAAAAUGUUUUUACUUUUACUUUACAAGCUAUCAUUUCCCUUGAUUUGCAUGAAAAAACACAAAGACUGAGGGUUUAGGUUAAACUAUGGUUGAGGGAUUUGUUUUUACCUUUCUGGGUUGCUAAAUGAUUUGGAAAGGAGCUGUUUUGAAGUUGUUUUUUUUUCUUGUUUGCUUUUUUAUUUAAAGGAAUUGCUUCUGCUUGGGCUCGGGGUUUAGUGUGAGGAAUGCACUGAAUCACGGUAACAGGGAUAUAAACAGGGAAUUUACAGGAAUAUGCCUCUAUCUAGAUAACAGAUCUGAAUGGUUUUGUUCCUAAUGCAGCCAGGGGAAAACUCCUACUGGUUUCUGUAUCGCUCUGCUUUGCAUUGUGUGAAUUAGAUAAUGGAGAGAUAAAUAAUCGGGUUUUUAAGCUUUAUUUUGAGUUAUUCUUUUGAGGCUGGAACCUGCUAAGCCUUCUCACAUCAUGCUGUAGCAUAAAGGGCACUUAAUGCUCCCAUCGUUGUUAAUUACAUUAGUAAUUAAGGGCGAAUCAAGCUGCAGGCUCUGCUGUUUUGGGCACUGCACAAACAAAGCAGUAAGAUAAGUGGCAGCCUCUGUCUUGGAGAGCAUCAGAUUAAAUAACAAAGAAUGGGAGGAAAAAAUCUACCAGAAAUAUCUGGCAUGCAGCUUACUUAGUUUUACCCUUGAACCCCAUCCAUAUGAAUCUUAAUCUUCACAAGUUUUGGUAUUGUUGAUUCUGAUGUGCCAUCCUAAUACAGAACUUGCAUUUCUGGCCUGUACCUUUCAAUAACCAGUUAUGUGUUUUUUUGUCUUUCAGUGGGGACAGGUUUCCCUGCUCUUGCUGGUGUAACAGGUUUGCCUUGUUCCCCUCCCAGGUCUUUGUGCAAAAGGAAAUUCCACUGUGAAUUUGCCUCAGAUACCAGCACUGCUUUGCUCUCGGACUCUGUGCCGUUCUUUUUGUUCGAGUAUUUAUGGAUUAAGGUCUCAAAUAGUUGUGAUGCAAUUAUGUUCUCUGGUUUUGUCAUGUGUUCUGGGUGGACAUAAGGCUAAGGAAGGACAGCAGCCCCUGGUAUCCCUCUGCUGAGAGCUUGUGGGACUAUAAGCCUUUAGGAUGAUGUGGAGGUGCUUGAGGCAGCAUGGCAGGCUCAGAUAUUCAAAUCCGUUGGCAACAGCAGGAAGAAGUACUCUGUGAAAUGAGUUGAACAGCGUUGCUUAGUUGUGAUGUAGUCCUUUAAAGAUAUUAACGUUUAAUGGUGAACAAAAGCAGCGCCUGCUCUGUGCCUGGCUUCAAGCGUAGCAGCAUUCGAGUCAAACCAAUGGGGAUACAAUGAAAUGCAGUUGCAUUAUUAGCAUCGUGCUCAUCUUCACUGUUGUUCUAAAUGUUGGAAUCACUUCAAUCAUCCUUCUUUUGUUUUUCUUUUCUCAUGCAGCUUGAUAUCUGUGUACAAUGCGAGUGCAUGGAUCCAGAGGAGGUAACGCAUGCAGCAGCUGUGCAGUUAUCAGACAGAUCCCAGCCCUCUGUGAGCAGAUUGAGCCCCUCAGGUGAAUAAAUGUUCUCCCUCCUUUCUGUUCCCAUGCAAAUCUUUCCUGAACAGAUACAGCAAUAAACACAAAACAGGAAUCUAAA